UCUGCGAUGGAGGACGGUAAGACGAGGAUUGAGGUGUGCGAGAGAAGCUAGGUAAUUGUUUUUGUACAGUAAAAUGAAAGCAUCAUUUCGAAUUUCAGAUCUGGAAUCAGAACCACCGUCUCACAGUCGCGACGACAUCGUUCUUCAAUUUUCACGAAUCCACCGCAUCGGGUCUCUUCGUCAAAGGUCAGUAAUCGUGGCGGAUGGAGAGGGUUGCAGCUCAAUGAGGUGUCGCCACCCCUGCUUCGUCGACUCGCUCUUCAACCGCAUUGCCCCUUUCUAAAACGACAUAUGGUUCUGCCUCUUCCUUCAAUCUUUCUUUGUAAACGUUAACCUUGUUAAAGACAUCAUUUGUUCUGUUUUUCAGUUGCGAUAUGUUGAGCUUAGGUCAGCACCGACUAUGCUUGUGUCAUCGACUGGGAGAAUCCAGACGGAAGGAAGAGUACUUUUGUUUUGCUGAACACUAAUGUGCUUGUUAUUCAUUCUUCUAUGACAUUGUAAACAGAGGAGAGCAGCUUUGUUGUAAGCAUCAGUUAGCUGCAAGACUUGCUAUAUGGAAAUACAUACAUGGGAACAUUGGUGAUAAGGUGUCUCACGAGCAAUUGGCUAUAUUACUUUCCAAGCUAUGAAAUAAGUGGACGAAACCAAAAUAUGGUAAAAGGAAUUGAAGAG